CUUUGUUCCAUGGAGUCCCCGUGGCCUUUCCAAAGUCCCUAGUGCCUCAGAAUUUCCCAGGACCACCCCCGACCACCAGAGACCCUCCGGGUUAUACCCCAGACCUUUCCCAAAUACCCCGAGUUGCCGGAACUGACAAAUUCCCAAAGGACUCAAGACUUGUCCUGAGUGUCCUCUUGAAUCCCCAGGGAACCACAGUCUCUUCCAAGACAACUCUGGAAUUCUCCUAGCCCCGCUCUGAGAAACCUAAAUUCUUCUAAUUCCUAAAAAUGUCUUAGACUCCCACCGGUCGGCUGGGCAUGGUGGC
rnacentral:lncRNA from 10 species